rnacentral:rRNA from 1 species
UGGGGAAUAUUGGACAAUGGGCGCAAGCCUGAUCCAGCCAUACCGCGUGGGUGAAGAAGGCCUUCGGGUUGUAAAGCCCUUUUGUUGGGAAAGAAAAGCAGUCGGUUAAUACCCGAUUGUUCUGACGGUACCCAAAGAAUAAGCACCGGCUAACUUCGUGCCAGCAGCCGCGGUAAUACGAAGGGUGCAAGCGUUACUCGGAAUUACUGGGCGUAAAGCGUGCGUAGGUGGUUGUUUAAGUCUGUCGUGAAAGCCCUGGGCUCAACCUGGGAAUUGCGAUGGAAACUGGGCGACUAGAGUGUGGCAGAGGAUAGUGGAAUUCCUGGUGUAGCAGUGAAAUGCGUAGAGAUCAGGAGGAACAUCCGUGGCGAAGGCGACUGUCUGGGCCAACACUGACACUGAGGCACGAAAGCGUGGGGAGCAAACAGG